rnacentral:rRNA from 1 species
UACAGAGGUCUCAAGCGUUGUUCGGAUUCCUUGGGCGUAAAGGGUGCGUAGGCGGCGCGGUAAGUCGGGUGUGAAAUCUCGGGGCUUAACUCCGAAACUGCAUUCGAUACUGCCGUGCUUGAGGACUGGAGAGGAGACUGGAAUUUACGGUGUAGCGGUGAAAUGCGUAGAUAUCGUAAGGAAGACCAGUGGCGAAGGCGGGUCUCUGGACAGUUCCUGACGCUGAGGCACGAAGGUCAGGGGAGCAAACGGG